CUCUCUCUCUGCAGCCCCACCCUGCCUUUCCACGAGGCCCAUUCUGCUCAUCUCCGAGGAGAACCGGAUCUGGGGCGAAUCUGGAGCCUCUCCUUGCAAAAGUUUUCCACCCAGAGGGCAGAGCUGGCUGGUGAAGCCCUUUGCUGCGCAUCUCUAUCGGUUGUUGGUCUUGCAGCUGGAGCUUUGGAGGGAUUCUCCCAAGAAAGGAGGGUGCCAAGGAAUGAAGUCAUGGUUGUUAUCAGGAUCAACGGUUGGCUCCUUUUGCUAGGGCAAGGCACAGAGGCCACUCCCUCGCUGUGUGAUCUCCUUGAAGCUGGCUAUACCUGAAGGCAUGCUGAGUAACCAUGCAGAGAAGUGGGAAGCUUUUAAAAAGAGCUCUGGUGAAGCUAGAUCUUAUGUCGGCCCACACACAUCGGGGAAGCAGAAAGGAAAGGAGGUGGUAAUGGUUUGUGUUACACCUGCUUUUCAUUUUUGUACACACCUAUUAUAGAUAGGCAGCAUGCUGAGUAAAGAGUACAGAAAUUCAGCUGGGAUUCUUCUUUCCAACACAUAAACAACAAAUCCAGAUUACAGUGGACCCUUGCUAUCUGCUGGGAUUUGAUCCUUGCCCCCUCCCCAGAUACCAAAAUCUAUGGAUGCUCAACUAUUUUUUUUCCAUUUUAGAAAGGUAGAAAUGGUUCAGCUCUUGAAGACUCUCAAGGCAACAGCAGAAUGCUUAAAUAAUCAAGAAAGCGAGAGAAAGGAUGGGAACCUGUACUACUCAACUGAAAAUCUUGCUUUAUUUUGGUUACCACCAGUUUAACUCUACUGCCUAAUUAGCCUUCUGAAAGGAAGGCUUUGUUAAAGAUUCUUCAGAAGAAGUGAAGGAUGUCUGUUUGCAUUCAACAUCCUAAAAGGGACUUUCCUAAUUACAUCACAAACCCAUGCCAUUCCUUUCCUGCUAUUUGCUUUCUCAUAGGAAGCUUGGAGUAUCUUUUGUUACAAUCAAAAAGGAGGAAGGAAAGGGAAGGGAAAAAAAGAUAUAUAUCAGCACCUGUAAGACUAAAUGAUUUUUUAUUUUUUGCAUGAGCUUUUGUGGAUCACUUUUUCAGAUGCAGUACCAAGUGGUAUUAAGAUCCGAGACAGAAAGCAUAUACAGUUCUGGAAGUGGAAAAGAGUACAAUAGAACUUGUGGCCUACACACUUAUAAUCUACCAAAAUGAAAGCAUCCCACAAAUCUACAUUCCCAAAAUAGAGGAAAUCCAUCACCAAAAACAGAAAGAAAAGAAAAUAGGAUGCAUAUCUUCACAAAAUGUCCAUAUGCUGCUUUACAAAGAUAAGCACAAAGUUAGAGAUAUAGUGUUCCCUCACUUAUCGUGGGGGUUGUCAGAAAACAGCCAUAAAAUCCUGGUCCCUUUGCUUUAGAUUUAGCAAGGUGCUAACUACUGAUGUACCAGUAGACUAAAGGGUAGUUCCAUAUUUGCAGUCUUCUGCUCUGGCACAUGUAUCUCUGGUUGGUAAUGCAGCAUGCUCUGUCAGCGUUGUGCCUCCUGUUCACCCAGUAAAUGAAACAGUCAUCAGUCCCCCAAAGCUAUUAUUCUGUUGUUUCAUGCGUUUUGACAGAGACAGUGCCUUUCCUUCAUAGGAAACGACCAGUAGUCUGUAAAAUCUGCCCUACUCUUCACUUUGCUUGGGAGGGGACACACCUAACAAUAGUGCUGCAGUUAUUAACUGGGUUAGUGAUCACUUAUACCUUGCAAGAAUGCCAUUACAUACUGCGUUUUCUUUGUUUUACAACAAGCAUUACAGGAUCAAGGAGGUGUGAGCAUUUGACUUCUACCCAAAACAGUCAUUAAGGAAAAAAAUUAUUGCCUGGAUAAUCAUCUUCUGAAUUUUCGAAAGGGAAAUAGAACGACAUUUAGCAUAUCUGUUUAAACUAACAGUGGGAUUUUGGCAGGCUGAAUAGGAGGAUAUUCUGAGUAAAGUAUGCAAGUGACCUUGGACAGAAACUUACAAUACUGAGAACCAAAGACAAGGACAUAUCUAUACUACAGACUCAAACUGGUAUUAUAGUCAUUUCCUCAUGAGAAUUGUGGUUUGAAGAAAGCGGGUUAGAUUUCAAACAAGGAAUGCCUGAUGCUUGGCACUCCUGCUAAUUUACUGUUACCAGGUUUCCCUGGGAGAAGCCAUGGCACUUAACAAUUUACAUGUUUUUAAUGUCAGUUCAUACAAUAUUUAGCUUCACCUGUAGGGAUAUGUAUACAAAGCAUCCUUAACUUAGAAAGAAAACAUAUUAUAAUGCUGAAUUCAGAGUCUGGCUCCUUGUAGAAACAAGACAAGUUGAGACUGAUUAUCUGGGGAAAUCAUUUCUAUGUCAUCUUUUUGUAGCAUUACUAACCUCUCUAAAACUGCACAGACUGAGCUGUUACUGGCAAAUUGGGUGCCAAGAAAUAUAAGCAGACAGUGCAACUACUUGGGUAUAAUGGUUUGCAGGUUGGGAAGUGAAAAUGUCCCUUUUUACAGAGGGCAAUCUAAUUGAAGACCAGUCAAAGGACAGUUUUUUAAAAUGUGAUUUUAAUCUAGUUUGAUUUGAGAGUAUGAACUUAGAAUCCAUGAGAAGAGAGAUUUGGUUCCCAGAAGUUGCUUUAAGUCAUGUAUCAAUUUAUGGCAAUUCCAUAGACUUCAACAUGUUUUCUUAGGCAAGGGACGCUCAGAGGUGGUUUUGCCAAUUCCUUCCUCUGAAAUAUAGUAGCCUACAGCACCUGGUAUUCCUUGGCAGUCUCCCAUCCAAGUACUAACCAUAGCUGAUCUUGCAUAGCUUACAAUAUCAGGUUGGAUCUGACCCUUUAAGCUAACUGCAUAGUAAGUAAUAAUUACAGUGUGCCCUCCAGAUCUGCGAUUUCUACCAACCACAGAUCAUCACAUCCCAUAUUAGUCAAUGGUAAUUCAGUAAUACUGGGUGUGAUCAACCACAUUUUUCUCAUCCUCAUGGGGUUCCCAAAAAACUCUCCACGUAUAUGGUAGGCUCAGUGUACAUUUUCAAAGUAGGGAAAAAAUCCAAAAUAUAAAAGGAUGCACAUUAUUCAUAACAAAUUAAUUGAUCCACAUAUCAAUUAGAUGGGCUAGUGAAAUUCAUCUUUCAGGCUGGAUCUACACUGCUAUAUAAUCCAGUUCAAAGCAGAUAAUCUGGAUUCAGAACUGGAUUACUUGGCAGUGUAGAUGGGGCCACAAAGAACACUGCUUAACAGAAUAAUAAUAUUCUACGCAUAAGGAGAUAGAUACCACUCAACAUGAAAGGUGUCAAGCUAUACCCAUGUGGCCAAGCAAUACGAUGAGUGAGUUUUUGUAUGGUUGACUAAUCCCACACAUUCAAGUACUGAAAAGUUAUGGUUGGACGCUUAUCAGUUUUUCAGCAUUAUACAACACUCAGCAUGCUUCCCUAACCACAGAUAUAAAUAGGCCUAGAAGCAAUAAAUUUUGAGGGUGUAUUAUACAACUCAAGAAUUUUCUAUGUGAAGUUGUGUAUAUGCUCUGUGUUAUGCAGAAUAAUGUACAGUUGGCCUUCCAAUUUGCUAAUUUCUUUUUUGCAGGUUUUAUCAUUUCUAGAUUUAAUUAAUACAGUAUACCUAGGAAUCUUUAGAUCCUCCAGCACAACUUUAUGUCAACUUCCCAUGGAAGGCAGACUAUAAUUAAACAUGUUUAGAGAAAAUAAUUAAUCUUGUGUUGUCCUUGUUAAUGCAUCAAAUGGAAUUAUAUUCUUAUUUUUAGUAUAGCCCCUGAAGAAGUGCAGCUGUUAGUGGCUGAAGUACAUUUGGCUUUUUAAAACAAAUAAAACAAGUGACCGUC